UCUCCGUUGGUGAACCAGCGGAGGGAUCAUUACCGAGUUUACAACUCCCAAACCCAAUGUGAACCAUACCAAACUGUUGCCUCGGCGGGGUCACGCCCCGGGUGCGUCGCAGCCCCGGAACCAGGCGCCCGCCGGAGGGACCAACCAAACUCUUUCUGUAGUCCCCUCGCGGACGUUAUUUUUACAGCUCUGAGCAGAAAUUCAAAAUGAAUCAAAACUUUCAACAACGGAUCUCUUGGUUCUG
rnacentral:misc_RNA from 1 species